UGAUGGGCAGAUGGAACAAGUGGAGUAGGUGGCGCGGCGUCAGAAGUCAGCGGCGACAGAAGUCCAAAAGUCCGCAGAUGCGGCGCUAGAGUUUUAGACUUUCUGAAACCCUGGUUUGGCUAAUGGGUCAGAGGGUUUUGGGCCAAUUAGGUUAUUGGGCCUUUUGGUGCGAGCCAGGUUAUGUUUUCGGGUCUAAUUGGGUUAGAUUUAUUGGGCCGUGUGUUUUGGACUUAUGGACUGUUCUUCAUUAUUUGUUGGUACGGGCCCGGGUCAAAAUUGGGCUUGUAUAGCUGCCCCUCUUUGCUCAUUGUCAUGUAACGAGAAUAGAGCAAGGACUAAAUAAAAGCCAAUUUUGCCCGGUCUCGUCGAGUUUUGACUUCUCUGGUGCUUCUCUUCUUCUAGUAGCCUUAUUUCAGUC
rnacentral:lncRNA from 1 species